GUGUCAGCAGCCGCGGUAAUACGAAAGGAGCAGGUGUUAUUCGGAUUAACUGGGCGUAAAGGGCGCGUAGGUGGUUUGUUAUGUGUAUUAUUAAAUUAUAAAGCAUAACUUUAUAAGGUAAUAUAUACAACUAAACUAGAGUUAGGUAGGGGGUAGUAGAAUUUCUAAUGUAAAGGUGAAAUUUGAUAAAAUUAGAGAGAAUACCAAUGGCGUAAGCAACUACCUGGGCCUUAAACUGACACUGAGGUGCGAAAGUAUGGGGAGCAAAUAGGAUUAGAAACCCCCGUAGUCC
rnacentral:rRNA from 1 species